AACGAACGCUGGCGGCGUGGAUAAGACAUGCAAGUCGAACGGGGCGGCAGCAAUGCCGUUCAGUGGCGGACGGGUGCGUAACACGUGAACAAUCUGCCCGGAAGAUGGGGAUAGCCCAGGGAAACUUGGAUUAAUACCCAGUGUGGCACAGGCUGGCAUCAGCCUGCUGCCGAAGGUGCUGCAAGGUGCCGCUUCCGGAUGAGUUCGCGGCCUAUCAGCUAGUUGGCGGGGUAACGGCCCACCAAGGCGACGACGGGUAGCUGGUCUGAGAGGAUGACCAGCCACACUGGAACUGAGACACGGUCCAGACACCUACGGGUGGCAGCAGUCGAGAAUCAUUCACAAUGGGCGAAAGCCUGAUGGUGUGACGCCGCGUGGAGGAUGAAGGUCUUCGGAUUGUAAACUCCUGUCAAGUGAGAGUAAAGCCGGGCAUUAACUGUGUGCCGGUGUGAGAGUAUCACUAGAGGAAGGGACGGCUAACUUCGUGCCAGCAGCCGCAGUAA
rnacentral:rRNA from 1 species